rnacentral:rRNA from 1 species
UCACGAACCUGCCGUGGUNACGCCUCCUUGCGGUUAGGCUAACUACUUCUGGCANAACCGCUCCCAUGGUGUGACGGGCGGUGUGUACAAAANCCGGGAACGUAUUCACCGCGGCAAGCUGAUCCGCGAUUACUAGCGAUUCCGACUUCNCUCANUCGANUUGCANACUACGAUCCGGACUACGACCGGGUUUCUGGGAUUAGCUCCCCCUCNCGGGUUGGCAGCCCUCUGUCCCGGCCAUUGUAUGACNUGUGUAGCCCUACCCAUAANGGCCAUGAUNACCUGACGUCUUCCCCACCUUCCUCCGGUUUGUCNCCGNGCGGUCUCAUUGGAGUGCCCUUUCGUA